rnacentral:rRNA from 1 species
UACGCAGGGGGCUAGCGUUGCUCGGAAUCACUGGGCGUAAAGGGUGCGUAGGCGGGUCUUUAAGUCCGGGGUGAAAUCCUGGAGCUCAACUCCAGAACUGCCUUUGAUACUGAAGAUCUUGAGUUCGGGAGAGGUGAGUGGAACUGCGAGUGUAGAGGUGAAAUUCGUAGAUAUUCGCAAGAACACCAGUGGCGAAGGCGGCUCACUGGCCCGAUACUGACGCUGAGGCACGAAAGCGUGGGGAGCAAACAGG